CCUACGGGAGGCUGCAGUGGGGAAUAUUGGACAAUGGGGGGAACCCUGAUCCAGCCAUGCCGCGUGUGUGAAGAAGGCCCUCGGGUUGUAAAGCACUUUCAGUGAGGAAGAACGCCUGGUGGUUAAUACCCAUCAGGAAAGACAUCACUCACAGAAGAAGCACCGGCUAACUCCGUGCCAGCAGCCGCGGUAAUACGGAGGGUGCGAGCGUUAAUCGGAAUUACUGGGCGUAAAGCGCGCGUAGGUGGCUUGAUAAGCCGGUUGUGAAAGCCCCGGGCUCAACCUGGGAACGGCAUCCGGAACUGUCAAGCUAGAGUGCAGGAGAGGAAGGUAGAAUUCCGGGUGUAGCGGUGAAAUGCGUAGAGAUCGGGAGGAAUACCAGUGGCGAAGGCGGCCUUCUGGACUGACACUGACACUGAGGUGCGAAAGCGUGGGUAGCAAACAGGAUUAGAUACCCUUGUAGUC
rnacentral:rRNA from 1 species